UGGGGGAUAUUGCACAAUGGGGGAAACCCUGAUGCAGCGACGCCUUGUGAGUGAUGACGGUCUUCGGAUUGUAAAGCUCUGUUUCGAGGGACGAACAAAUGACGGUACCUCGGGAGGAAGCGACGGCUAACUACGUGCCAGCAGCCGCGGUAAUACGUAGGUCGCAAGCGUUGUCCGGAAUUACUGGGCGUAAAGCGCACGCAGGCGGCGUGACGCGUCAGAAGUGAAAUCCCCGGGCUCAACCUGGGAACUGCUUUUGAAACGGUCAUGCUUGAAUCAUGGAGAGGGUAGCGGAAUUCCGAGUGUAGAGGUGAAAUUCGUAGAUAUUCAGAAGAACACCGGUGGCGAAGGCGGCUACCUGGCCAUGUAUUGACGCUCAGGUGCGAAAGCGUGGGGAGCAAACA
rnacentral:rRNA from 1 species